GUUUGAAAGAAUAUAAGCCCAAGAGGUCGUCAGCCUGACUCUGUGAGAUUUCUUUGAUGUCUCUCUCGUUUAUUAAUGAGAGUGAUUGAGUAUUCUGGAACUGAACACAGAUAAUGUUAAUCGGUUUGUUUUCAUAAAAACCCCUGAACUGAGCGCCACAUCCCCGAUCUCUACUUUAGACUAUAGCUCCAAAUAACGUCACCAGCACAAAGUGGCAGCGCCCGUUUCUUCAUUGUUGGCUUCAUUUUGUACAGUGGGAGGAAGUGGCGUCCAUCUUGAUAUCCAGUCUGUGCCUGUCUGUCUGCGGCGACUGAAGAGCUGCGUUCAAGAGCUGGAAAAUCCAGCGUUUGGUGGUAUAACAAAACCAAACAUGAAAAUAUGACGCAUGUCUCAGGCUUUCAUCGUCAGCAGUGGUGAUUCCUGCUUGGUCACCUUCAGCUCCACCCGACUCCCGACCUUUUUGUCCAAACUUCAAACCAAAUGUGGAAACAAUGGGACACAGCUGAGGCGAGUUGGCUGCAGACAUGCCACAGAGCUGUGUGCCCAUCGGCUUCGUGGUGAGACGCCGGCGUUUCAGACAUCUGGCUCUGGAAACACCAGUUACUAAGCAACGGCCGGGCUGGCAGGACGACGGAGAGUCGCUGGAAACCAGCUUGUCUCGUCUCUGCAGUCAGAGCGAUUCAGCACAGCCUCCAUCACUCCUUUGUGUUCCUGCAUUCAACUCUCCUGGGCCGCCGCCUCCUCCUCCUCCUCGCCGCUCAAAAAUAACACCACACUGUUCACCUGUUUCCUCUGUGAGCUUCACUGAGAAUCACAAGUUCUCUGAAUAAGUUCUUAAAGUCUGUUAAUAAAAGUUAACUUGUCCAUUUUGUCAAUAGGGAACAAAAAGUUAAAAAGGAGAAAAAAAAAAGUUCUUCUCCCGUGAGAGACAGCAACCCUAACAUGAAGCCUGGCAGGCAGUUUGAUGGACUUAGAAAUCCCCCUUCAGCUUUAACAACAUUACAUUUGUUUCAUGUUCUUGCUGCAUUGCUGUUGAAUCCUGCAGUGCUGCAGUCAGAGCUGCAGAGGAAGGAUUUCUACAACCGUCACCGGUUUAAGAUCUGGGCAGAAAUCCCAGCUACAGGCAGGGAGUUAACCUCCAGUGCUCAGACAAGUUGAUUUUCCAAAGAACUGAGUGUGUUUAAAUUGUCUCAGAUUUUUGCGUACUGCAGUUUCUCAUGAUUUCGGUAUGACAGUUUCACCAGACCAACAGUACGAGUUAAUUUUUGACUCGUUUUACUCAUCGAAACAAACUUCAUACCUCCGCAAGAAACUCAGGAGCUCGUGAUGUUGAAACAUUACGCCAUCGUUUGUGAUAUGCGUUUAAACAGUGCUCAAACGUUCCUUUUAUGAAACUAAACUGAAGUACGACUUUGAUUAUUUGCUUGACACUGUUUAUACCCGGUGUGUUUUCUGCCCAGAUGUUGUUCCUGCCAGGCAGACUGAGGCGAAAAUCAGACAGGAAGCAGAGAAAACACCAGCGCACUUUUCCCCUUACGUCCGUCCAGGUGGAGGACGGCAUGCUCCGGUAUGGGUCCAGGAGGAUCCGGAAACAGCGGACGAUUAGCAGGCCCAGGAAGAUGAAGAGGAUGAGCACGAAGACGAAGGCCGCCCUCUGCUCGAGCGUGAGGAAGGAGGCUGUCGCUGAGGAGGAAGAGGAGGAGGAAGAGGAGGAGGAAAAGUCAGAUUCAGAAGCAGAGAAGGUGCUGCUGUAGAGGUCGUCUGCCAUGUUGGGAUGGAGAAUGACUGGUUGGCUUAGAAGAUCAUCAUCUUCUGUCCAAUGAGAGACUGUCCACAGGAAAACAUUGUGAUGGCGAGGAGAGGCCUGCAGAGUAAACAAGUACUUUAGAAAAUCUUUAGCCAAGUACUUUCCCUUAAAGGCCGAAAUGUUCAUUAGACCUAAAGUAGAACUAAAUCAGCUACAAGCAACACAACACUGCAUGGUUAAGCAUCUGAUUUGUAAAUAAACACUGCUGGAAAUGCUAACGAGUUAUCCAAGAUGCUGUUCUGGACUGAUGUUACAAAGUCAUCCUAAACACUUGA